UCGGGAAUAUUGCGCAAUGGAGGAAACUCUGACGCAGUGACGCCGCGUAUAGGAAGAAGGUUUUCGGAUUGUAAACUAUUGUCGUUAGGGAAGAUAAAAGACUGUACCUAAGGAGGAAGCCCCGGCUAACUAUGUGCCAGCAGCCGCGGUAAUACAUAGGGGCGAAGCGUUAUCCGGAAUUAUUGGGUGUAAAGGGUGCGUAGACGGAAGAACAAGUUGGUUGUGAAAUCCCUCGGCUCAACUGAGGAACUGCAACCAAAACUAUUCUCCUUGAGUGUCGGAGAGGAAAGUGGAAUUCCUAGUGUAGCGGUGAAAUGCGUAGAUAUUAGGAGGAACACCAGUGGCGAAGGCGACUUUCUGGACGAUAACUGACGUUGAGGCACGAAAGUGUGGGGAGCAAACAGGAUUAGAUACC
rnacentral:rRNA from 1 species